GAUGAACGCUAGCGGCAGGCUUAACACAUGCAAGUCGAGGGGUAUUGGUUUUCGGACCAAGAGACCGGCGCACGGGUGCGUAACGCGUAUGCAAUCUACCUUUUGCAGAGGGAUAGCCCCAGAGAAAUUUGGAUUAAUACCUCAUAGUAUGUGAGAAUGGCAUCAUUUUCACAUUAAAGUCACAACGGCAAAAGAUGAGCAUGCGUCCCAUUAGCUUGUUGGUAAGGUAACGGCUUACCAAGGCAACGAUGGGUAGGGGUCCUGAGAGGGAGAUCCCCCANACUGGUACUGAGACACGGACCAGACUCCUACGGGAGGCAGCAGUGAGGAAUAUUGGACAAUGGGCGCAAGCCUGAUCCAGCCAUGCCGCGUGCAGGAUGACGGUCCUAUGGAUUGAAACUGCUUUGUACAGGAGAAACCCUUUCACGUGUGGAAGAUUGACGGUACUGUAAGAAUAAGGAUCGGCUAAACUCCGUGCCAGCAGCCG
rnacentral:rRNA from 1 species